GUCAUCCUACGAGACGCAGCAGUGGGGAAUAUUGCGCAAUGGGCGAAAGCCUGACGCAGCGACGCCGCGUGAGGGAUGAAGGUCUUCGGAUCGUAAACCUCUGUCAGCAGGGAGGAACGGUCACUGUGCUAAUCAGCAGUGAAUUGACGGUACCUGCAAAGGAAGCACCGGCUAACUCCGUGCCAGCAGCCGCGGUAAUACGGAGGGUGCGAGCGUUAAUCGGAGUUACUGGGCGUAAAGCGCUCGUAGGCGGUAUGUCAAGUCAAGAGUGAAAUCCCCGCGCUCAACGUGGGAACUGCCUUUGA
rnacentral:rRNA from 1 species